GAUGAACGCUAGCUACAGGCUUAACACAUGCAAGUCGAGGGGAAACGACAUCGAAAGCUUGCUUUUGAUGGGCGUCGACCGGCGCACGGGUGAGUAACGCGUAUCCAACCUGCCCACCACUUGGGGAUAACCUUGCGAAAGUAAGACUAAUACCCAAUGACGUCUCUAGAAGACAUCUGAAUGGGAUUAAAGAUUUAUCGGUGAUGGAUGGGGAUGCGUCUGAUUAGCUUGUUGGCGGGGUAAACGGCCCACCAAGGCGACGAUCAGUAGGGGUUCUGAGAGGAAGGUCCCCCCACAUUGGAACUGAGACACGGUCCAAAACUCCUACGGGAGGCAGCAGUGAGGAAUAUUGGUCAAAUGGGCGAGAGCCUGAACCAGCCAAGUAGCGUGCAGGACGACGGCCCUAUGGGUUGUAAACUGCUUUUAUAAGGGAAUAAAGUGAGUCUCGUGAGGCUUUUUGCAUGUACCUAUGAAUAAGGACCGGCUAAUUCCGUG
rnacentral:rRNA from 1 species